rnacentral:rRNA from 1 species
AUGAACGCUGGCGGCGUGCCUAAUACAUGCAAGUCGAGCGAACAGACGAGGAGAUUGCUCCUCUGACGUUAGCGGCGGCCGGGUGAGUAACACGUGGAUAACCUACCUAUAAGACUGGGAUAACUUCGGGAAACCGGAGCUAAUACCGGAUAAUAUAUUGAACCGCAUGGUUCAAUAGUGAAAGACGGUUUUGCUGUCACUUAUAGAUGGAUCCGCGCCGCAUUAGCUAGUUGGUAAGGUAACGGCUUACCAAGGCGACGAUGCGUAGCCGACCUGAGAGGGUGAUCGGCCACACUGGAACUGAGACACGGUCCAGACUCCUACGGGAGGCAGCAGUAGGGAAUCUUCCGCAAUGGGCGAAAGCCUGACGGAGCAACGCCGCGUGAGUGAUGAAGGUCUUCGGAUCGUAAAACUCUGUUAUUAGGGAAGAACAAAUGUGUAAGUAACUAUGCACGUCUUGACGGUACCUAAUCAGAAAGCCACGGCUAACUACGUG